rnacentral:rRNA from 1 species
UACGAAGGGGGCUAGCGUUGUUCGGAAUAACUGGGCGUAAAGGGCGCGUAGGCGGCUUUAUAAGUCGGGGGUGAAAGCCUGUGGCUCAACCACAGAAUUGCCUUCGAUACUGUAGAGCUUGAGACCGGAAGAGGUAAGUGGAACUGCGAGUGUAGAGGUGAAAUUCGUAGAUAUUCGCAAGAGCACCAGUGGCGAAGGCGGCUUACUGGUCCGGUUCUGACGCUGAGGCGCGAAAGCGUGGGGAGCAAACAGG